rnacentral:rRNA from 1 species
GUGGGGAAUAUUGCACAAUGGGCGGAAGCCUGAUGCAGCGACGCCGCGUGGGGGAUGAAGGCCUUCGGGUUGUAAACUCCUUUCGCCAGGGACGAAGCUUUUGUGACGGUACCUGGAUAAGAAGCACCGGCUAACUACGUGCCAGCAGCCGCGGUAAUACGUAGGGUGCGAGCGUUGUCCGGAAUUACUGGGCGUAAAGAGCUCGUAGGUGGUUUGUCGCGUCGUCUGUGAAAUUCCGGGGCUUAACUCCGGGCGUGCAGGCGAUACGGGCAAUACUUGAGUGAUGUAGGGGUAACUGGAAUUCCUGGUGUAGCGGUGAAAUGCGCAGAUAUCAGGAGGAACACCGAUGGCGAAGGCAGGUUACUGGGCAUUUACUGACGCUGAGGAGCGAAAGCAUGGGUAGCGAACAGGAUUAGAAACCCUAGUAGUCC